GAUGAACGCUGGCGGCGUGCCUAACACAUGCAAGUCGAACGGAGUCCAGCCUUUAAGACCUUCGGGUCAAAGAGGGGAAGACUGAGUGGCGGACGGGUGAGUAACACGUGGGCAACCUGGCUCAUAGAGGGGGAUAACAGAGAGAAAUUUCUGCUAAUACCGCAUAAGCACACACUGCCGCAUGGCGGAGGGUGAAAAGAGAAUCGCUAUGAGAUGGACCCGCGUCUGAUUAGCCAGUUGGCAGGGUAAGAGCCUACCAAAGCGACGAUCAGUAGCCGAUCUGAGAGGAUGAACGGCCACAUUGGGACUGAGACACGGCCCAAACUCCUACGGGAGGCAGCAGUGGGGGAUAUUGCACAAUGGGGGGAACCCUGAUGCAGCGACGCCGCGUGAGUGAAGAAGUAUUUCGGUAUGUAAAGCUCUAUCAGCAGGGAAGAUAAUGACAGUACCUGAAUAAGAAGCCCCGGCUAACUACGUG
rnacentral:rRNA from 1 species